UACAUAUCGAAAAGUGAAUGAUGAAUGUAAGUUUCAUUGGUCGCAGCUUCAGACUGAUUUCCUUGAUGAGUAUACCGUAGAGCCCAUUUUCCCGAUACAUUUACUGCCUAUUGCGUUACCUUUUUUUCUUGUCCACGUCUUCAUUUGGUUAACUGGAUAUUGCUGCUUCAAAAUAAAAGGAAGAUUGAAUAAAAUCCAACAUAGAGAUACCCAUGACAGUUCAAAUUCUUACGAGAGGGACAAGUUGAAGAAAUAUCCAAUGUUUGUACGAGUAUUUCUGUACAACGCAGACUAUGAUCUGAAACUGAAAUCAACAGAAGAAGCGGAAAGAAUUGGAGCGGCUAGGUCAAAGGGGAAAAUUGAGAUCACAGAAGAAGACAAAAUAACGAAACUUCAAAAUCAAAUGGACAUUUUGAACAGAGAGCUUAAGGACCAACAUAAAAGAAGUGACGAGAUGUUGAAGAUGAUCAAAGAAAAUAUGAAGAUAAACCAUGAAAAUAUGAAGAUAAACCACAAAACUAUGAAAGAGAUAAAAUCUAUGAUAAAGGCACAGUUCAAGCGCAACACGGAACAAGGUCAGCCUGCAUCAACUCAAUUUUAAAAAAUUCAAAGUUGUGUGAUAAAUGAAAACAAAGAAGAAAUGAAACCACAAGUUGUAUCAUACAUUGUAUAAAGUUAUUUUAUAUGUUAUCAAAUUAUAUUUAUAGCAUGUAUCUAAUUUGUAUUUUUGUUUUUAUGUCUUUUUAAGUAUUUUGAAAUCGUGUGAUGAACUCUACAAAGCAUUUAUUAACAAUAAACUAUUUUAUCUUAUUUUUUAUAAUUUAUUUAUCUAUUUACUUUUUAUUUAUUCAUCUAUUUAUACAUUUUUAUGGAAAGGGGGUGGGGUAUUUUUUUAUGGCGGGAGAGAUGGGCUAUGUAGGUUGAUCAUUUGUCUUUAUGGUUUAUUUUCACUUCAUUUUGAAAUGACUUUUAGAUACAGUGGUAACAAGUGUCUAAUUAAUCAACGUAUUAAUAAAUAUAUAUUUUUUGGUAUUUAUAUUUUAAUCGUAUUUAGUAAGAUUCGUUAAAGUAUAUGUUUUGGUAACAAGUAACAUGUUAAUUUCUAUCACAUUUUUUAAAUAAUUCUAAAAUGUUAUAAACACACAAAACAUUUUAUGUUUGAUGCGUUGUCUGUAAAAACAACAGUCUAUGCGUUUAAACAGGUUAAACAGAUGUAUUGGUUAAUUUGACAGUGUGGUAUUUAAAGUAGGAAAGGAUUAAGGGUUUUAUUAAUGUAUGAUUCUGCAUUAUAUCCUACAUUAAUCUCAAAGAGACAUUGUUGGCAAGUAAUGGUGUUUAAAUAGAGUCAUCGAAACAUUUCCCAACUUUUAAUAGAACACAAUUUGUUUUUUCUGUAACCAAAAUAUCUCUACGGGAACGUUAUGUCAUAUUUCAACAAAAUCAAAAUUAACCAUGAUGUAGAUAUCAGAUUUUAAUAAAUGAUAAUGACCAACGAACUACAACGUAUCAUAUCAACACUGUUGAAAAUUAAAUUAAAAUUUAGAAUUGUUAUAAUAAUAGUAACUAUAUUUAGAAUAUUAAUAAUAUUAAUAAUAAUGAUAAUCGCAAAUACAUUUUUCUUAAGAAUAUAAUUUAGUUUCAAAGAUGAGUAUAUGUUGUAUAUAUGUUGAAUCUAAUAUCUUGUCUUGAAUUAUUACAUAAGUAUAUCAACUAAUAUGUUUAUCAUUUACUGAAUAUAUCUAGAUGUGAAUUA